rnacentral:rRNA from 1 species
GCAGUGGGGAAUUUUCCGCAAUGGGCGAAAGCCUGACGGAGCAAUACCGCGUGAGGGAGGAAGGCUCUUGGGUCGUAAACCUCUUUUCUUGGGGAAGAACACAAUGACGGUACCUAAGGAAUAAGCAUCGGCUAACUCCGUGCCAGCAGCCGCGGUAAUACGGAGGAUGCAAGCGUUAUCCGGAAUGAUUGGGCGUAAAGCGUCCGCAGGUGGCAAUGAAAGUCUGCUGUUAAAGAGUCUAGCUCAACUAGAUACAAGCAGUGGAAACUACAUAGCUAGAGUACGUUCGGGGCAGAGGGAAUUCCUGGUGUAGCGGUGAAAUGCGUAGAGAUCAGGAAGAACACCAGCGGCGAAGGCGCU